rnacentral:rRNA from 1 species
AGGAUGAACGCUGGCGGCGUGCUUAACACAUGCAAGUCGAACGAGAUUCAUGGAGCUUGCUCCGGAAGAUCUAGUGGCGAACGGGUGCGUAACACGUGAGAAACCUGCCCCAGACUUGGGAAUAACAGUCGGAAACGACUGCUAAUACCGAAUAGCUUUGAAGCGUCGCAUGGCGCACCAAAGAAGCUUUUGCGGUUUGGGAGGUCUCGCGGCCUAUCAGCUAGUGGUGAGGUAACGCUCACCAAGGCAUCGACGGUAGCUGGUCUGAGAGGAUGAGUCACGCCACACUGGGACUGAGACACGGCCAGACGUCCUACGGGAGCAGCGAGUAGGGGAAUAUUGACACGAAGUGGGCGGAC